CCGAGUUUACAACUCCCAAACCCCCAUGUGAACGUUACCAAACUGUUGCCUCGGCGGGUCAUUCAUGCCCCGGGCGCAUCGCAGCCCCGGACCAAGGCGCCCGCCGGAGGACCAACCAAAACUCUUCUGUAUGUCCCUCGCGGACUUUUAUAAUUCUGAACCAUCUCGGCGCCCCUAGCGGGCGUUUCGAAAAUGAAUCA
rnacentral:misc_RNA from 1 species